CUGAAAACAAGUAUAAAGGGGCUUCAAUAUAUCUUCCUGUGUUUUUUUUUUCUGUACUGUGAAAGAAACCAAAAAUAAAAAAAAGGAAGAAAGAAAAAAGGGAAGGGAAGGAGGGAAGGAAGAAAAAGGAAGAAAAGGAAGGAAGGAGCCAUUCAAUGCAAGAGUAAUUCCACAUAAGCAGUACAAGAAAGUGUCCCCUUGGGAAGCUUGGCUGGCUAAGUCAGAAGAGCAUGUAACUCUUGAUAUCAGGGUCUUGAGUUCGAGCCCCACACUGGGUGUAGAGAUCACUUAAAUAAAUAUAAAACUUCAAAGAAAAAUAUUGCCCCCUCAACAAAUUAAGAAGUACGGAGAAACAGAUAUGGCACGAAUGAGCAGGAAAUAAGACCUGUGAAGGAUGAUUUGAUAAUAGUGUGUCCUCAGUUACUACUAUCGUUGUUAACAUUCUAACUGCAGAAAUCUGCUGGGAGACAAAAUGGGUUUAACUUGUGCGGGAAAAGACUGAUAGGAGGUGAAGGAAGGGUCAUGUGACUCUAAGAAUUUUUUAAAAUAUUUGAUAGAGGUGAGUAGGCAUAUUUUGGAAGAUCCUGUUUCCUCACAAUAUUUACAAAUAAGGAUAAUCUGACCAAUAAAAUCUCUUUCCGAAGGCAAAACGGCCCACCAUGCGACUAGUUCUCCAACAUGCUGGUAUGCAAACAUCCAGGUGAAAACCUGCAAGGAGUAAAAAGCCCCUUGGGACGUUUCCAAUUCAAAAAGUCUCAAGUUCAGAAGGCUCCUCCACUGAUUCCUUUGCCUUAACUCGGGGUGGGGGGCUCAGAGAAAGGAGGAGAAGGGAGAUAUGAGGUGUAAACCUGCGUAAACCCCCCAUUUACUUUACCCACACGUUCCGUUUCUCGGGAAGGCGAAGAAUCGGUUGCAAAGAGAGCUGGAAUCAAUUUCAGCUUUCUACCUUUCCUCUCCCCACAAUUUUCCAGAGAGUUGGCCACCCUCGCCUAGGCCAGACAACAAGGGAAAGUGGGAUAUAAUUCUCUCUCUCUCUCAAUGCAGGCCGGCCACGGGGACAGUAUCGGCAGGAAAAGUUGCUCACAGGCUGUGUUGUUAGGUUUGUGGCGACUAAAAUACAGCCCCUGCUCUCCUGUCCCUUUUCAGAGAUGACAAAGAUUUUCACCCAGACACUAAGACCACCGGACAUGACAAGACCACCGGUCGGCUUGGGACAGUCCAGCGCCGACCCUGGGAGGGUCCCAUGAAUCCUUCGAGACCACCAGACAUCACGACCUCUGCCACUCCGGUCAAAAGAGGGAUUCUGAAAUGUCACUUCCCCCCAGUUCUCUUUUUUUGUUGAGGCUCUUUUCAAGUCUUUGGAGCAUUAUUAAACGAUCCUACUAUUGAUUUUCCGCUCUCAGUACUGGUGAAAUGGAGUGAUUUGAGGACUAAUGACUGAAGUCCACUCACUGUCUAAAGGACAGGUACAAAGGCAGACGUACUUGGAACUCAUUCCUCCAACCAUCCUCGUAACUUAGACUUCAGCGCCUGGAAAUAGGACAGAUUUCCCACAGUGAAAAUGUAAAACUGGUGACUCUGGAGAGCAAUGAGGCAGCCUCUAAUAAAGGUGUGGACUGCACACUUACAAUCUGGAAACAUUUCCACUCCUGGGUGAAAGUCCUCACCUGUGCUCAAGGAGACGUGUACCAGAAAGUUCAGAGCAACACUGUCAUGAUAGAGAAAAAGCAGAAACAACCUACAUCCACCUAUGCUUCUAUCCAGAAGUGUAGAUAUUAGACAGAUAUCUAGGCAGCAAUUAAAAGUUAGGAAACAGAGGCACCACAAGCAAGGUGGGCAUAUCACAAAAAAAUAUAAUGUGGAGUGAUAUAUAUCUGAAAAGGGCAGAAAUGUAGGUGGACUAUGCUACUGUUUAUACAAAGAUUAAAAACAAGCAAAAUAAAACUACAUGUGUAUCUGUAUUGUUUAUGUAUAUAGGCAUAUGUAGGAAAAGUUAUUUUUAGUACACGGGAAUGAUAAACACCAAAUGCAAGGCAAAGGUUAUCUGUGGA